UACAGAGGUCUCAAGCGUUGUUCGGAUUCAUUGGGCGUAAAGGGUGCGUAGGCGGCGCGGUAAGUCGGGGUGUGAAAUCUCGGAGCUUAACUCCGAAAACUGCAUUCGAUACUGCCGUGCUUGAGGACUGGAGAGGAGACUGGAAUUUACGGUGUAGCGGUGAAAUGCGUAGAUAUCGUAAGGAAGACCAGUGGCGAAGGCGGGUCUCUGGACAGUUCCUGACACUGAGACACGAAGGCCCAGGGGGAGCAAAACGGGG
rnacentral:rRNA from 1 species